rnacentral:rRNA from 1 species
AGUGAGGCUUUCGGACUGAUCUAGGGCGGGGUUCAUUCGCCGCCUCUGGUCGGAAAGUUAUCCAAACUCGGUCAUUUAGAGGAAGUAAAAGUCGUAACAAGGUCUCCGUUGGUGAACCAGCGGAGGGAUCAUUACUGAGUUUACGCUCUACAACCCUUUGUGAACAUACCUAUAACUGUUGCUUCGGCGGGUAGGGUCUCCGCGACCCUCCCGGCCUCCCGCCUCCGGGCGGGUCGGCG